AUGAUCACCAAGGAGGGACAGCGAGAAAGCCAAGGAGAAGGGCACAAGCACACCAAGGUGAUGAGAGCCAGCAGCUGCAGCAUCCCAUGGGUGUUAUCAGAGUGUGCUCAGACUGCAACACCUCCAAUACCCCCUUGUGGAGGAGUGGUCCUUGUGGCCCCAAGUCUCUUUGCAACGCAUGCGGCAUACGCCAAAGGAAGGCUCGCCGCGCCAUGGCUGCAGCGGCGGCCACUGCCGCCACCAACGAUGGGGUGGCGUCUGCUUCCAGUGGCGGUGUGGCGGUGGGGGCCGUGCAGGCAAGCGACGCAUCACAAGCGGUGA
rnacentral:rRNA from 1 species